UACAGAGGGUGCGAGCGUUAAUCGGAAUUACUGGGCGUAAAGCGUGCGUAGACGGUUAUUUAAGUCGGAUGUGAAAGCCCCGGGCUCAACCUGGGAAUUGCAUUCGAGACUGAAUAGCUAGGGUGCGGUAGAGGGAAGCGGAAUUUCCGGUGUAGCGGUGAAAUGCGUAGAUAUCGGAAGGAACACCGGUGGCGAAGGCGGGUCUCUGGGCCGAUACUGACGCUGAGGAGCGAAAGCGUGGGGAGCGAACAGG
rnacentral:rRNA from 1 species